rnacentral:sRNA from 1 species
UCAUGUAUAUGAAAAGAGAGCCAUGCGCUAACAUGACUCCCUUAACAGUGCAAACACCAUUUAAGAUGGUGACAGCCUUAUAUUUUUAGUGAAAA